CCUAAAAUUUUUUAGUUACUUCCGAAGGGUUCUCCGUAGCACCACAGUGGGCGAGAGUGUUCAUUAUUGAAAAAAGAAAGAAUUAUUGUGGGCGAGAAGUGUGCACCUAAACCCACUGAUGAUUGAUGGAUCAAGAAAUCUCCGGGGCAAGGAGUGUUCUCCAUCCAAACCCGGAUCUGUCACAGGACCGCAUAAUUUACUCCACUCUAUUUGAGUGAGUGAUCCCACGGCGCUGGAGUGCGUGCGAGGGUUGUAAUCUGCUGGUAUUUGUGUGUGCACACGACCUGUUCGACGAUUUACCCGUUUAUGAGUCGCACGCUACCAGUGCCACCCGCACAUGCCGAGCUUCUGCAUUGCUGGAGGCGCCAUGCCAGUGGCAGCUUUGCAAGAUCUUUGUUUUGCACUCACCUUAAGUUGUCUCCUUCUGUCUUGUCCAACCAGCGAAUAUGAUAAAACUCGUUUAUGCAGGUGGAUAUGUUAUGUAAGUUGGGGGCGGCCGCCGUACAUUUUACCCCGAGAACAAGGACGUCUUCACCCUGUCUACUAUGGCACUUCUGUAGUUAUGUUAAACCUUGUUUUAGUUCUCCUCCAUACCAUGAAUUAUCUGGUCCAUACAGUUAAGAGUAUUUCAUAGAGGAACUGCCGUCACCUUAUUUUAGCAUCAUUGAGCAUGGUUUAGUUCACCAAAUCGUUCAUGUGGUAUAUUACUUUUGCUAUUAUUAUUAUUUUUCAUAAUUUAUUCAAUGAUCUUCCUCACUUGCCUGAAAUGUAACUACUAUACAUGUUGACCAUAAUCAAUAAGCAUGGUUUACUGGCAGGAACCAUCAACAGGAGAUUAAUUGAAAUCACUUGAAAAUUAAUUGCAGAUUGUAGACGAAACUGAAGCUAGCAGGAUAAAACGCGAUUGUCUGUUAAAUGAAACGUGGGACCAUGGAACAUAAUGGUUAUGAUAUAACAUCCUAUAGUUCAAUACAUAAAUUUAUUAGAACUUGCUCGAAACUGUAGAGCAAACAAGUACUUGAUUGGAAAAGGCACAAUAGAAAAAUACACUGAUAAUUUGGUUCCUGGUGCAGGGAUGUAUUCCAAUGAUGGUCUUCUGUUGUCGAUGACAUGGAAGGCAGUCCGACAUCAUGAAGCAACAUUCAAAGCUUUUCGUCUGUCUCGAUAUCUGUCCCUGAGGUCGAACUAUUCUGGCGAACAUUUCUCUGCAAUCAGAUUGUUGACAAAUGUCAGGAACAAAACAUGGAAAAUAUAUUUUUUAACACACCAUAAAGGAAAAUGAGACAAGACAAGUUUCUUCACCAUGAUCUAUCAGCAAAUUUCCGUUUCAGGGAUGCAGGUUUUUGACAAUAAACAGGGCUAGUCCUGAUGCAUUCCACAUCUUUCUUCAAUAUUGGCUUGCCAAUGGUCAUAGAGGGACGGAUAUAGUCUUUACCGAUGUUGGGGCAGUUCUUGAUGAACACAGAUGGCAAGUUCUCUAAUAAAUAUGGAAGGGCUUGGGGUCCCUUCAGUUUGCCGCAAUUGGUUAUGGACAGACUGCGAAGCUUGGGAAGUAACUGGAUGUCUCUGUUGGGCAAGAACCAUUCCUCUAAAUUACAGAGGCCUUCAAACAAGAGCUCAUGCAGCUGUGGAAAUCCAGAUGGGAUGUCUUGGCCAUAUAUCUCUUCCCCGAUCCGCCGCAGAGAUCUCAUCUGCCUUAGAUGCAAGACCUUGAGGUAUGGUAGAAUGCCAAAAGGUGGAAGGUCCUUCCAUCCACUGCAAUUUGAGAGCUCGAUGCACUUCAGAUUUAGCUCCUGGGCCGGGGCCCCCUUCAGCCAGUUUGGGGGUUCCAUGCCUGUGUAGCCAUUUAUUAUGAGCUUGCUAAGAUUGCAAUGUGGCUGAAGGCCUUCCAGCACUUCGUGAGGAGCAGUCAUCAUGGACUCAGUUCUCUCCUUGCUCACAAGCUUCCAGCGUAGAUCUAAUGUUUCAAUAUACUCCUUUUUGCCUAGUUUUGCCUUCAAAGCCUCAUCCUUGCCCUCCACCAUCUCAAGUCCUUUGAUGCAAAGACUACCACGGACCUGGUUCAUAUUUUCCAGUUGACUAAUGCCGAAAUUAUCAUUAUCGCCAACCUCAAAGGUAUUAAUUUCUUGCAGGGAAGUCAACUUUCCAAUAUCAGCAAUUGUGCAUACUGCUUCCGGUUCAGUUUCGAGGAACUGCAGGCUGAUUAAUUGUUUGAAAUUCUUCGGCAUUGACAAUUUGUUGCCACAGAACCUUCUGAUCAAUGUCUGCAGCUGAUAUAACUUGCAUAUAGAUUCUGGAAGAGACGCAUUUCCAUAAUUUUCCUCAACAUGGAUCUCAAGGUAACGGAGGUGCUUCAGUUUAGGAAGAUCUGCUAGGAGAGGCUCGGAGACCAUCAGCACGCGCAGGCACUUCAUCCCUAUAAGAAGUUCUUUAAGGGUCUGAAUCAAGUCCGACUUCUGUGAGCCAGAGGAUAUCUGACCGACUACCACAAGACUGCGCAGAUUAGUAAUUCGACUCAGUCUUCCAGAGGCCCUUGCAAGAUCAUUGAUAUCAAGGUAAACAUGACGGGCCCUCUCUGGGAUAUUUAUUGGCCCAUCAUCAAAUUCGCUUCUUUUUUCGAUCCUGAAGUACUCACCAGAAGAUAAGAAUUCAGCAAGUUCAUCGAAUGGUUCAGCUCCAGGGCCAUCAAGAUAUCCGAGAGCCAUCCAUACACGGAUAAUUUCUUCUUUUCGAAAGGCAUGCCCUUUUGGGAAGAGAGAACAAGAAACGAAACAUUCCUUGAGGUCUCUUGGCAGCUGUUCAUGACUUAAUCUCAGUGUGGCCAUGAGGCCACCCUUCUCUGCUCCCAUUUGAUACAUUUUCCUUUUCGAAAUACCCCUCCAGUGGUUAGCAUUGAAGUCUGACCGUAACGCCUGACAAAAUGUCUGCUGCCUGGGGCAAGCCAUUUAGCCUUUCGGCUAUGUUUUCGCCUAUGGGUAAGAGUUCUGGAUACUCUUCUGGGUCUUUGUUAUGAAAUGCAAGUUCCUUGAACAGUUGCCAAUAAUGUUCAGACUGUAAGCCGUGAACAUGAAUUGGCCCUACUGUACUCAUUCCUUCUCCUAUGCUUGGGUCUCGAGUAGUGAGUAUGACUUUACUUCCUUCACGUGCUUGACUAAAUGGCAUAUCGAAUGCGUCCAGUAUGUUUCUUGAUAAAUCCUAAUCCCAUAUGUCAUUCAGGACUAUGAGAAAUCUCUUAUCUUUCAAAACAUCUGCCAGCAUACUCUUGAUGGUGCCCUUGUCGGGCGCAGGAUGGCGAUAAAGCAGUAAUUUUUUGGAAGCAGCAUUGGUUGCGUCAAUCAAGACCCUUGUGAUGCUGGCUCUAUGUGAUACACAGAUCCAGACCUUCACUCCAAAGCAGUCUGUUCUGCUAUCGUUGUAAGCUUCCCGGACGAGAGCUGUCUUCCCAACACCACCCAUUCCGACAACAGAAAUACGUGAGACUUUCUCAUUACCUUGUUCAGGUUUGAGUAAAAAUGCCAUGAGUUCAUCUGCUUCUUUCUGCCGACCAACCAGAUUUGGUUGUGUGUCGGACGCAGUGGUCACCCGCCAAUCAGGAGCUUGAUCAGGCACCAAUCCUUGUGUAGCAUCUUGCCCACACAAGAAGCACAAGCUACUCAUCUCUGCAGAAAUUCUGUCAAGCUUUAUGAUGACUUUGGUCAAAUCUUCAGCGUCUUUUGUGUCUUGGGGAAUGAAAUCAGAAGCAUCUUUGCUAGGAGAAAUUAAACGCUUGAGUACAGGCUCGAUCGUUACCUGGUGCUUCAACAUUGCAUACUUGAUGGAAUCAAGAACAUCUUCUGCUGUGAAAACCGCAUCUCCGAGUCUCUGGAUCCACGACUGCAAUUUGGAAUCAUCAACUUCCCUUUCCUUGGCCCGGCUGAUUGCUUCUGAAAUCUGCUCGAGUCGCCACUUGAGCUUCUCGGUGUUGGCCACAAAAUUCUUCUGGUCUUUGUACCGGUCCUUUGCAUGCUGUAUCACAGGGUCGGCGAGCUUGGAAAGGCAGACAGACACGAACCAUCCAGCCACAGCGAGCUCGACCAUCACCAUGGCAGAUCAAAAUUUCUGGAUCUCAGGGGGGUCCUGGAAGAGGAGGAUGAGACCUUCCAGGGCUUCACUGCUCAGUUGGCAGCUUAUGUUGGUUGAUCAAUGGUGUAUGCUUAACUGGCUAUGCGCUUAUCUCAAUUUCUUUAAUCCGACUGGAUGCCUUGACUGUCUGUUCCUAUUCUAUUAUCAUUAUGCUCUGAACAUAGACCCAAUCCAGGGCCGGUGGGUCUGAGCUGAUGACCAGUUAGUCAGUCAAGUUAGUUAGGAGGGGACAUGAAUAACACAGGAAUGCACUGCCACUGCCAGCUUAUCUGAACCUUCUUCCCCCAUGUGCAGAAGAUAAAAUGUCCGACUCACAUGCAUCUGUGCUGCCGUUCAUAUGCUGCAAUGUGUUGGUAGUCAACUGGGUGGUUCAGAUAUUGUAAACUACAGGAUACAUUAAUCAGCAGUGCGCCUUUCACAUGCUGUUGGUUUGGCUUGAGUUUGAGGAUGAACUGGCAUUUCAUACAUGUGCAGUCAUAUAUAGAUCUGGUGAAGUCAGUUACUCCCUCCGUCCCAUAAUGUAAGACGUUUUUUGACAGUCCUGUGUCGACUGAAAGGUUGAUGGCCCUUCCAGUUAGUUCAACAGCCUCUGUUCAGAACCAACAACCAUUGUCAUGAGAAAUUAAGUGAAGGAUCAACGUUUGUUUUGUGUGUGUGAGGCUUGCUUCCGUCCACAAGCGGCAUAUAUUUUUGUUGGGGACAACUGAAGAUUAUCGGUUCAUGGAGCAUUUUACACCGCUCCGAAGGCCAAUGUGGUUGUUAGAGCGGCGACUUCAGAGUUCAGAUCAUCCUAUCUCUAGUCUUCUACAAAUAAUGUAUGUUAUCUUAGUAGCAGGUUGCAGCAUUUACCCUAUGAUUACCAUGGAGAUCUCAUUACCAUGUGGCACACUAGAGUCCAAAUCAUUGGCUUGUACCAACCGUUAUAUUUCAGUCAAGCAGAAAAUUUACACGUA